CCUACGGGAGGCAGCAGUGGGGAAUAUUGGGCAAUGGAGGCAACUCUGACCCAGCAACGCCGCGUGAAUGAUGAAGGUCUUCGGAUUGUAAAGUUCUGUGAUGGGGGAUGAACACAAUGACGGUACCCCAAUAGCAAGCCACGGCUAACUACGUGCCAGCAGCCGCGGUAAUACGUAGGUGGCAAGCGUUAUCCGGAAUGACUGGGCGUAAAGGGUGCGUAGGUGGUUUAGUAAGUUGGCGGUGUAAUUCCGGGGCUCAACCUCGGCGCUACCGCCAAAACUAUUAGACUAGAGUGCAGGGGGGGGAAGUGGAAUUCCUAGUGUAGCGGUGGAAUGCGUAGAUAUUAGGAGGAACAUCAGGGGCGAAGGCGACUUACUGGACUGUAACUGACACUGAGGCACGAAAGCGUGGGGAGCAAACAGGAUUAGAUACCCCAGUAGUC
rnacentral:rRNA from 1 species